CUCCAGACUCCUACGGGAGGCAGCAGUGGGGGAUAUUGCACAAUGGGGGGAACCCUGAUGCAGCGACGCCGCGUGGGUGAAGAAUCGCCUCGGCGCGUAAAGCCCUGUCAGCAGGGAAGAAAAUGACGGUACCUGAAGAAGAAGCCCCGUCUAACUACGUUCCAGCAGCCGCGGUAAUACGUAGGGGGCAAGCGUUAUCCGGAUUUACUGGGUGUAAAGGGGGCGCAGACGGCGAUGCAAGCCAGGAGUGAAAGCCCGGGGCCCAACCCCGGGACUGCUCUUGGAACUGCGUGGCUGGAGUGCAGGAGGGGCAGGCGGAAUUCCUGGUGUAGCGGUGAAAUGCGUAGAUAUCAGGAGGAACACCGGUGGCGAAGGCGGCCUGCUGGACUGCAACUGACGUUGAGGCCCGAAAGCGUGGGGAGCAAACAGGAUUAGAUACCCUAGUA
rnacentral:rRNA from 1 species